CGCGGGGCCCUCGGCGCAGGCGCAGAACAGAGAGGGGCCGGCGGGUCAGGGGGCAGCAAUAUGGCUGCGCCCAUGCGUCGCCGGGAGGGCCGGCCGGAGCGGGGGGGUUAGCCCCGUGCUGCCCGUCGGGGAGGGCCGUGGCGCGGCGCCGCCUCCGCAUGGAGCCGCGGGAGUCGUGGGCGGCCUUGGCGGCUGGUGGAGUUGCUGGUGUCUGUGUUGACUUGAUCCUUUUCCCACUGGAUACUGUGAAAACCAGACUGCAGAGUCCUCAAGGAUUUAGGAAGGCUGGUGGCUUUCGUGGCAUCUAUGCUGGUGUUCCUUCCACUGCUAUAGGAUCCUUUCCAAAUGCGGCUGCAUUUUUUAUCACCUAUGAAUAUGUGAAAUCUGUGCUGCACUGUGGCUCUACAUCAUACUUGACUCCAGUAACACACAUGGUGGCUGCCUCCUUUGGAGAAGUGGUUGCGUGCCUCAUACGGGUCCCAUCUGAAGUCAUCAAGCAAAGGGCCCAAGUUUCUCCUUCCUCUGGUACCUUUCGGAUUCUCUCCCACACCUUAUAUCAUGAGGGUAUUCAAGGACUUUAUCGGGGAUAUAAAAGCACAGUAUUAAGAGAGAUUCCUUUCUCUCUGGUACAGUUCCCGCUCUGGGAGUCCUUAAAGGAUCUCUGGUCGUGGAAGCAGGGUCACGUGGUGGAUUCUUGGCAGUCAGCAGUCUGUGGAGCUUUUGCAGGUGGAUUUGCAGCUGCAGUCACCACACCUCUAGAUGUAGCAAAGACAAGAAUUAUGUUGGCAAAGGCUGGUUCCACCAAUGCAAGUGGGAAUGUUCUGGCUGCUCUCGGUGGCAUCUGGAGGACACAAGGCCUGUCGGGCUUGUUUGCAGGUGUCGUCCCGCGGAUGACGGCGAUCAGCCUGGGAGGGUUCAUCUUCCUGGGGACGUACGAGAAGACUCGGCAACUGCUGCUCUGAGCCGGCCCGGCGACUGCUGCGAGGGGUCACGGAGGAGCUGCCGAAGCCGCUGGCCUACGGAGAGGAUCUGCCCGGGAGCGCGGCUGUCCCGCGCCACCUCUGCGCCGCGCUCGGAGCAGCUGCUCAGCGGUCUGAACGCCACUUUCACUGUUAAAGAAAAGUGCACAGCAAGCAUUCCUGCGUGGUAACCGCCGCAGCUUUGUUAAUUAGACUCACGUUUCUCCAGUAAAAGCACGGGGUUGUUUUAUUUUACAACUCCGUGAGUCUUAACGGUGGUGCUUGGGCAGAGAGAUGCGGUUAUGCCUUUUUUUUUUCGGUCUUCCUCCCUCAGCAGCUGAAGGAGCAUGAGCUGAUGAAGCCCAGGCGGGAGGCCGGGGAAGGCAGGGCAGGGAGGGUGCACGCAGUGUCCGGCUGAAGCGCAGAUGGAUCCGAAGGGCUCUCGGAGCUGCUGGCGGGCAGAGCGACCCUCGGCUGUUGCUCACGGUCGGGAAGAGCAGCUGUAGCAGCCAAACUGGUGCUGGGAGGCGCUCAGCGAAAAGGCACUGUUGAAAUUAGUCAAUUAAUUAAAAUCUUCACUAGGAGCUGAGAACAAAGUGGUUGGCCAGGUUUACCUCAGCCUCUUGGCUAAGUGGUUAGAUGCAGCGGGUGCUUGUGCAGGGACGCGUGUGCAAGGAGCUGGCUGCCGCCGUGAGCCCUUUCUGGCGGCUUUCUGCGCCCGCCGCAGCGCCCUGCUCGGCUGCCUCCGUGCUGAGGAGUUAAGAGGUGCUGCAUUAGGUUGGUUCAGGUUCACGCGGUCGGCCGGGGCUGCGGGGGUCUUGGCGGGUGGGCUCGCGCGUGGUCGGGAGCAGACCCUCGCUCUGUGCCGGCUGCGGCAGGGGCUCAGGCCCGUUGGGCCCCCCAUGGGGCUGCGCCGCGUGUCCUUGGGCCGCUGCUCUGCCAGGAGCACCCGCGGUUCGGCUAAGCCCCGCGUUUCGCGUGCGCGUGUGUUUUAACCUGCAGGCAAACUAAUAAACUAUGAAGAACAAAGGCUGUGACUCUUUUUUUAAAAAAAGAACUUGAAAUGGAGAUUUUUAACCAGGUCCCAGAUUGGCUGGUUAAUUCCACUAGGACAGCGUAGCAGUGCUUCCCACCACUGCUAAGGGUGUGUCUUUUAUAAAGUAUUUUUUUAUUUUUUAUAUUGAGAGACUAUAUAUAUAUAUA